rnacentral:rRNA from 1 species
ACAGGCUUAACACAUGCAAGUCGAGGGGCAGCAUGGUCUUAGCUUGCUAAGGCUGAUGGCGACCGGCGCACGGGUGAGUAACACGUAUCCAACCUGCCGUCUACUCUUGGCCAGCCUUCUGAAAGGAAGAUUAAUCCAGGAUGGCAUCAUGAGUUCACAUGUCCGCAUGAUUAAAGGUAUUUUCCGGUAGACGAUGGGGAUGCGUUCCAUUAGAUAGUAGGCGGGGUAACGGCCCACCUAGUCAACGAUGGAUAGGGGUUCUGAGAGGAAGGUCCCCCACAUUGGAACUGAGACACGGUCCAAACUCCUACGGGAGGCAGCAGUGAGGAAUAUUGGUCAAUGGGCGAUGGCCUGAACCAGCCAAGUAGCGUGAAGGAUGACUGCCCUAUGGGUUGUAAACUUCUUUUAUAAAGGAAUAAAGUCGGGUAUGCAUACCCGUUUGCAUGUACUUUAUGAAUAAGGAUCGGCUAACUCCGUGCCAGCAGCCGCGGUAAUACGGAGGAUCCGAGCGUUAUCCGGAUUUAUUGGGUUUAAAGGGAGCGUAGAUGGAUGUUUAAGUCAGUUGUGAAAGUUUGCGGCUCAACCGUAAAAUUGCAGUUGAUACUGGAUGUCUUGAGUGCAGUUGAGGCAGGCGGAAUUCGUGGUGUAGCGGUGAAAUGCUUAGAUAUCACGAAGAACUCCGAUUGCGAAGGCAGCCUGCUAAGCUGCAACUGACAUUGAGGCUCGAAAGUGUGGGUAUC